rnacentral:lncRNA from 1 species
ACGAUGAUAUUCACCUUCUCUACAACAUCGUAGUGAUGGCGGAGGUAAUCGUAAACUCUUAGAGGACGUAUAGUCAGAUAGUCGUAAAUAUUACCGCGCAUGUCAGCGUGUUAAACUAAAUUUUAUUUGCCUCCGCUUUAGAUCAAAACAUAUCGUCUUUUCGUUGUUUUUCUUCCUCCAUUUU